GUGGAUCUAGCUCAGUGGUAGAGCGCAUGCUUAGCAUGCAUGAGAUACUGGGUUCAAUCCCCAGCAUCUUCA
rnacentral:tRNA from 1 species